AGAGUUUGAUCAUGGCUCAGAUUGAACGCUGGCGGCAUGCUUUACACAUGCAAGUCGAACGGCAGCGGGGGCUUCGGCCUGCCGGCGAGUGGCGAACGGGUGAGUAAUGCAUCGGAACGUGUCCUUGAGUGGGGAAUAACGCAUCGAAAGAUGUGCUAAUACCGCAUAUUUCUCAGGAAGAAAGCAGGGGAUCGAAAGACCUUGCGCUAAAGGAGCGGCCGAUGUCUGAUUAGCUAGUUGGUGGGGUAAAGGCUUACCAAGGCAACGAUCAGUAGCUGGUCUGAGAGGACGAUCAGCCACACUGGGACUGAGACACGGCCCAGACUCCUACGGGAGGCAGCAGUGGGGAAUUUUGGACAAUGGGCGAAAGCCUGAUCCAGCCAUGCCGCGUGAGUGAAGAAGGCCUUCGGGUUGUAAAGCUCUUUUAGUCGGAAAGAAAGAAUUAUGGUUAAUAGCCAUAAUUUAUGACGGUACCGGCAGAAAAAGCACCGGCUAACUACGUGCCAGCAGCCGCGGUAAUACGUAGGGUGCGAGCGUUAAUCGGAAUUACUGGGCGUAAAGGGUGCGCAGGCGGCCUUGCAAGUCAGAUGUGAAAGCCCCGGGCUUAACCUGGGAAUUGCGUUUGAAACUACAAAGCUAGAGUGCAGCAGAGGGGAGUGGAAUUCCAUGUGUAGCAGUGAAAUGCGUAGAGAUGUGGAAGAACACCGAUGGCGAAGGCAGCUCCCUGGGUUGACACUGACGCUCAUGCACGAAAGCGUGGGGAGCAAACAGGAUUAGAUACCCUGGUAGUCCACGCCCUAAACUAUGUCAACUAGUUGUCGGAUCUAAUUAAGGAUUUGGUAACGUAGCUAACGCGUGAAGUUGACCGCCUGGGGAGUACGGUCGCAAGAUUAAAACUCAAAGGAAUUGACGGGGACCCGCACAAGCGGUGGAUUAUGUGGAUUAAUUCGAUGCAACGCGAAAAACCUUACCUACCCUUGACAUGCUUGGAAUCUAAUGGAGACAUAAGAGUGCCCGAAAGGGAGCCAAGACACAGGUGCUGCAUGGCUGUCGUCACUCGUGUCGUGAGAUGUUGGUAAGUCCCGCAACGAGCGCAACCCUUGUCACUAAUGCUAUCAUUUAAAAUGAGCACUUAGUGAGACUCCGGUGACAAACCGGAGGAAGGUGGGGAUGACGUCAAGUCCUCAUGGCCCUUAUGGGUAGGGCUUCACACGUAAUACAAUGGCGUGUACAGAGGGUUGCCAACCCGCGAGGGGGAGCCAAUCUCAGAAAGCACGUCGUAGUCCGGAUCGGAGUCUGCAACUCGACUCCGUGAAGUCGGAAUCGCUAGUAAUCGCGGAUCAGCAUGUCGCGGUGAAUACGUUCCCGGGUCUUGUACACACCGCCCGUCACACCAUGGGAGUGAUUUUCACCAGAAGCAGGUAGCUUAACCGUAAGGAGGGCGCUUGCCACGGUGGGGGUCAUGACUGGGGUGAAGUCGUAACAAGGUAACC
rnacentral:rRNA from 1 species